UUUCAUUAUGUCAUACUGAGGAAAUGCUCACCAAUGCUCUGUGUCUUCUAGGUUGCCAUCAAACACAUUCCCAAAAAUAAAGUCUACUGCAAAGUGGCGGAUGAAAGCGGGAAGAAGCUCUCAGUGGAAGUGGCCAUUAUGGUUAAACUUGCAGGUGAAGCAGAAGGGUCAGUGGGAAUAUCUGCACCUGUGUCCUUGCUGGAGUGGUUCGACCUUGGCAAAGAGCUGAUCCUGGUGCUGGAGAGACCUGUCCCGCUGUGGACCUGCAAAAAUACAAAGCAGAAAAUGGAAGAACUUUAACAGAGGACAAGGCCAAGGUCAUUCUGAAGCAAC